UUGGAAAUCCCGGAUUGUAAAAACGCAAAAAUCACUGACGGUCACAGCAGGACUACACCUUUAAGACGUCGAAACUGCGCGCAUUGGGAGUGGGCAUAUGUUCAACUGUAGAAUCACAACAACACUUCGCUAUGGGAAAACUGUGAAGAGGACCGCCUGCGCUGAACAAUAUUUAAAGAAAGCCAGCAGCAACGAUAUUUCUCAUCAACACAAACAUUGCUGCCGGUAUCCUGCAUGCUGUACUGUUGUGGAAGCAAGGAAAAGGAGAAGCAGCGCCCAGACGCUGCAGAGGUGUCGAGAAUUCGAGACACAGAGCCUGUGAAAACACGAAAGCCCCAAGAAAGCGCUCCUCAACCACUGGACAUGUACGGAAUAGCGGGAAUGCCCGAGUUUCUACCUCCCUCCGGCGUACUCCAGCCCAGCUCAGUAAUCCCACGCGAGUCGGGUGAGGUGCCUGGUUUGGGGAGGGGAUUCAGCAGGGGUGUUCUGAGCUUUGACUCCCCCCAGCGGAGACGAGGCCAACGGCCCCCCAAGCUAGGACAAAUAGGACGUUCGAAGAGAGUGGUGAUAGAAGAUGAGGAUUUGGAUGAUGUCAUGAACAACAAUGGCCUCCCUAUAUCGAUCAAUGUCUCUCCUGUUGCCUGAACACUGAGGCUGUCCAGACCUCAAGAGGCUAUGGUGCUCAUUUGUGGAAUUCUGAGGGGAGUACCACUUGUUCUGAAAAAUACCCAGUUCACGUGCUCAUUGCAAAGUUUACAAUAGCGGCAUGCGCAUCGGCUGUAGUUUAGCUCUUCUUGGGCACGGGAAGGUGGGUGUCUCAAGGAAAUAGAGGAAAAACGGUGCAUCUCUGCUGCAGCUGCUCUUCUGGUGUUGAAGGGGGGGAACAUUGUGUCCUGAUGGGGGAGGGGGAGGGUAGGUGUGGGGCCAGAGACCAGACAAGCUGCUUACUGUAUAAGCUACAAGAGAAGGGCCUAGGCUACCUAUCAACACCUGCCCUUUCAAAAUGAGUUUACCUGUUCCUCUGUUUGGUUUUAGUUUCAAUGUUUUUAAAACACUUCAUCCAACAUGUUUUAUUUUAAUUUUGAUGGUUAACUAAACCCAUAUCUAAACAAGAAAGCUGUGGCUGAUGGUUCUGGGAAGUAUUUUCAGGCUGAGUUCUGAUACUGUACAUUUGUAGUGUUUGAAAUGAUUACAUGGAAAAUUCCCUUUUAUAGCCUCUGACUGUCAGCAUCACUGUCUUGUUCUCUUGCAAAUUCAUUGUCUGUAAAAUCUGUUGAAUACAUGUUAGAUACACUGGCUCAUUGAUGCAUGUCAUAUUCAGCAGUGUAGAGGCCUAAGCCAUGCUUAUGUUGGAAUGUAUGUUACUUUUACCCUUGACUUACUAGACAAAAGGAAUCCUCACUGUGCAUGAUUCAUUGACCCUCCAUUCAUCCCUGUACAGGGGUGUGAAUACACCUUUUUUAUAUUACUAUCAACUUAUUGUUCAGUAUCUCACCGGAAUGCCCCCACAACUGGCUAAGAAUGUCAGAAGAUGAAGUACAGUAUAACUCAUUUCAGUGGUUUAUGUUAAACCCAGCUACAAAGCAGAAUCACAAAUUAAAUCGCUACAUGAAGAAAUUUAGGUAUUUGGUGUAUGACUGAGCCAUAAGAGGCACGUUGUCUUCUCUUUUUCCUUAAUUUCAAUUAUGUUUUAUUAGAAGCAACUUAAUAAAAAAUUACAAAUGUA